rnacentral:lncRNA from 1 species
GACUAAUAAAAAUGUUUAGGCGGGUGCGGUGGUUCAUGCCUGUAAUCCCAGCCAAGCUGCUCUCACUUUUAUCCUUUUCCUACUCAACUACCACUGAACAUCAAGAUUUACUUCUGGCUUCCAGAAUUUGAACACUGUAUUGCUGCCUGAUCUUUUCUGAUGGAAUCCCAGGUUCACCUAAGUACUGUGUAAAUUUGGCUCAGUUGACUCAUUUAACAAAAGUGUAUUAAAUAUUUACAUGUGCCAGGCAUCAUUCUAGUGCAAGGGACAGCAAUGAUCAGGGCAAAAAAAAAAAAAAUUCAUCUCUUAGAGUGUACAUUCUGUGGGAUGAAAUAGAUAAACCAAAUGAAUUACUCAAUUAUAUAAAGUGAUGGAUGCUAAAGUGAAAAAAUCUGUAGGAGGAAAGUGGAUGGGGGAGUAUAACUAAACUGCAAAAAGGGUCCUCAAGGAAGGGUUACACUUUGGAGGUGAUUUUGAGCAAAGACUUGAAUGAAGUGAAGGAGAAGGUUGUUAGUAUCUGGAACUGCCUCAGGUAGGAACAACCUGUUAAAGAGUCAUAGACAGCAUGUUCUUUGGAGUAUAGCAGCUCUACCUCUUGAUAGUUAGAGAGGAUUCACAUAUUAUUUAUCUUCUCUGAGCCUCAAUAUUCUCAACUGUAAAGUAUAGGCAACAGUACCUUUCUCAAAGAAUUUGCAAAUAGAUUUCAGUGAGAUAAUAUACAUAAAACACCUCACUUCAUAGCAUCUCAAUUUAUGUGAUUUACAUGGAUAGAUGAUAUAUAAGUAGAGAAAUGGGCAGAUAGACAACAGAAUAUAAUAAAUUAGUAUAAGAUUAGAUAAAAGUAGGAUAAGGUAGAAGAGGAGAGUACAGGACAGAACAGAACAGGAUAGCUAUAGAUGGCAAAUAGUAGCUAUGGAGACAACAGAUAUGUAGGCCCACAGAAUCCAACCUCAUUACUUGCCCACCCCUCAGCUGGCCAUCUACCUAGAUAGAUUUCUUUGGUUGUGUCCUAGACCUACCUCUAAUACUGAAAGUCAUUGUGAGCUUGGUCAGGUCACUUUGUGUUUCUGGAUUUUAUUACCCUCUUCUAAAUUGAGCAACGUAUAGUAAAGAAUUAC